CCUCGGUCUGGCUCGGGAGAGGCUAUAUAGGGAACUGCUGGCAGGGCAGCUCCCUCUUUUGCGCCCGGGCUGGGUGCCGUUUCUGUGUUCUUGGAACAAUGGCGCUCGGUGUAACGAAGCUGUUUCGUGAAGAUGCUAAGAUGCAAGGGAAAAUCCCAAAGCUUAUGGGAGGAUAUUCGCUGGAAAAUGACCUGGCUAAAACCUGACAAAGUUGCCAACAUCCUGGGAGUUGAUGAGUACUGAUGAAGCUGUGGGUGUCACUGGCUGUCAGAUUCGUUUUGAAUGAGGGGUCGCUGUCUGCCUGUUGAAAGAGACCAGUUUGUGAGGACGUUAAGCUGUAACCAUUUCUGACUAGUAUUACAAGAUUUACCUGCCUGUUGUAUGGAAAACUCGUGACCAGGAAAAGCUCUUCAUAUUAUGGACAUGGAAAGAAAACAUGCAGAUCAAGAUUAUCUGGAGUAAUUUUUAGUCGUGGCGCACAGUCCUGGAUGCUCACAACCUGUUAACUAGUAGAUUACUUCCUAGCUCUGUUUCUAAGAGUGAUGUCAAACUUAAGUGUUUGUAAUGGAAUUCCCCCCCACACCAAUUAAAGAAUUUUGUAAUCAAAUAAUUGGGUGAAUGUCU